CUCAAUAAUCCAUCGUGAUGAAGGUCCUACG
rnacentral:piRNA from 1 species